AGAGUUUGAUCCUGGCUCAGGACGAACGCUGGCGGCGUGCCUAAUACAUGCAAGUAGAACGCUGAAGGAGGAGCUUGCUUCUCUGGAUGAGUUGCGAACGGUCGAGUGACGCGCAGGUGACCUGCCUGGGAGCGGGGGAUAACUAUUGGAAACAAUCGCUAAGACCGCAAAAGAGUAUAUGUUGCAUGACAUUUGCUUAAAAGGUGGAAUUGCGUCACUACCCGAUGGACCUGCAUGGUAUUAGCUAGGUGGUGAGGUAACGGCUCACCAAGGCGACCAUACAUAACCAACCUGAGAGGAUGAUCGGCCACACUGGGACUGAGACACGGUCCAAACUCCUACGGGAGGCAACAGUAGGGAAUCUUCGGCAAUGGACGGAAGUCUGACCGAGCAACGCCGCGUGAGUGAAGAAGGUUUUCGGAUCGUAAAGCUCUGUUGUAAGAGAAGAACGAGUGUGAGAGUGGAAAGUUCACACUGUGACGGUAUCUUACCAGAAAGGGACGGCUAACUACGUGCCAGCAGCCGCGGUAAUACGUAGGUCCCGAGCGUUGUCCGGAUUUAUUGGGCGUAAAGCGAGCGCAGGCGGUUAGAUAAGUCUGAAGUUAAAGGCUGUGGCUUAACCAUAGUACGCUUUGGAAACUGUUUAACUUGAGUGCAAGAGGGGAGAGUGGAAUUCCAUGUGUAGCGGUGAAAUGCGUAGAUAUAUGGAGGAACACCGGUGGCUAAAGCGGCUCUCUGGCUUGUAACUGACACUGAGGCUCGAAAGCGUGAGAGCUAACCUGAUUAGAUACCCUGUUAGUCCACGACUGUAAACUAUGAGUGCUAGGUGUUAGACCCUUUCCGGGGUUUAGUGCCGCAUCUAACGCAUUAGCACUCGGUCUGAGGAGUACGACCGCAGGAUUUAACUCAACCAUUGACGCGUGCCAGCACAGCGUUGGUCAUGUGAUCUAAUUCAAACUACGCGACAACUUACAGUCCUGACAUCCUCUGACGCUCUAGAGAUAGAGUUUCAUUCGGGAAUGAGUGACAGUCGUUGCUAGGUUGCGUGCAACUC
rnacentral:rRNA from 1 species